AGAACGAACGCUGGCGGCAUGCCUAAUACAUGCAAGUCGAACGAACUCUUCGGAGUUAGUGGCGCACGGGUGCGUAACGCGUGGGAAUCUGCCCUUGGGUUCGGAAUAACAGUUGGAAACGACUGCUAAUACCGGAUGAUGACGAAAGUCCAAAGAUUUAUCGCCCAGGGAUGAGCCCGCGUAGGAUUAGCUAGUUGGUGAGGUAAAGGCUCACCAAGGCGACGAUCCUUAGCUGGUCUGAGAGGAUGAUCAGCCACACUGGGACUGAGACACGGCCCAGACUCCACGGGAGCAGCAGUAGGGAAUAUUGGACAAUGGGACGAAAGCCUGAUCCGAGCAAUGCCGCGUGAGUGAUGAAGGCCGUUAGGUUGUAAAGCUUCUUUACCCGAGAUGAUAAUGACAGUAGUCGGAAGAACGUAACGCCCG
rnacentral:rRNA from 1 species